rnacentral:rRNA from 1 species
UGCCUCAGUAACGGCGAGUGAAGCGGCAACAGCUCAAAUUUGAAAUCUGGCCCUUUCAGGGUCCGAGUUGUAAUUUGUAGAGGGUGCUUUGGCGUCGGCCGUGGUCUAAGUUCCUUGGAACAGGACGUCACAGAGGGUGAGAAUCCCGUACGUGGCCGCCGGUCUUCGCCGUGUAAAGCCCCUUCGACGAGUCGAGUUGUUUGGGAAUGCAGCUCUAAAUGGGAGAUAAAUUUCUUCUAAAGCUAAAUAUUGGCCAGAGACCGAUAGCGCACAAGUAGAGUGAUCGAAAGAUGAAAAGCACUUUGGAAAGAGAGUCAAAAAGCACGUGAAAUUGUUGAAAGGGAAGCGCUUGCAGCCAGACGUGCCCGCAGUUGCUCACCUGGGCUCUCGCCCGGGGCAUUCUUCUGCGGGCAGGCCAGCAUCAGUCCGGGCGGUUGGAUAAAGGCCUCUAUCACGUAUCUUCCUUCGGGAUGACCUUAUAGGGGAGGCGCAACACGGCCAGCCUGGACUGAGGACCGCGCAUUUGCUAGGAUGCUGGCGUAAUGGCUGUAAGCGGCCCGUCUUGAAACACGGACCAAGGAGUCUAACAUCUAUGCGAGUGUUUGGGUGUCAAGCCCGGGCGCGCAAUGAAAGUGAACGGAGGUGGGAACCCCUCGGGGUGCACCAUCGACCGAUCCUGAAGUCUUCGGAUGGAUUUGAGUAAGAGCAUAGCUGUUGGGACCCGAAAGAUGGUGAACUAUGCCUGAAUAGGGUGAAGCCAGGGGAAACCCUGGUGGAGGCUCGCAGCGGUUCUGACGUGCAAAUCGAUCGUCAAAUUUGGGCAUAGGGGCGAA